UACGGAGGGUGCGAGCGUUGUCCGGAAUCAUGGGGCGUAAAGGGCGCGUAGGUGGCCCGGCCAGUUCGUGGUGAAAGCGCGGGGCUCAACCCUGCGUCGGCCAUGAAUACUGCCGCGGCUGGAGCACUGUAGAGGCAGGCGGAAUUCCGGGUGUAGCGGUGGAAUGCGUAGAGAUCCGGAAGAACACCGGUGGCGAAGGCGGCCUGCUGGGCAGUUGCUGACACUGAGGCGCGACAGCGUGGGGAGCAAACAGG
rnacentral:rRNA from 1 species